UUUUUGUUGCAGGUGAUCUAGCCGGAUGAAAUUGUCGACAAGGCCAUUAGCAUCAUGCAGGUUACCUCCAAGCAUCUCAUGUAUAUCUGCAAGGAGAAUCUGCACCCAUGAAAGGCAUUGAGUGCAAUAGAGGUGAAGGAACUGCGCGAAGCCCUUUAAGUUAUUGUUGAAGGUUUGGACCUAGAUUCACUCUUGUGCUAGAGUUUGGUGUAGUCCUCGAUUAUAAACUGUGUACAAUGUUAAUGUAGUGACAUAGUUUGUAUGAUGCAGUUCAUAGUGAUGUUUGAAGGUAUUUGUAUGAACUGUGUCCUGGACAUAGUUUGUAUGAUGCAAUUCAUAUUGAUGUUGUU